rnacentral:misc_RNA from 1 species
GUCACGCCCGAAAUCGUUACCUCAACCGCAAGGAGGGGGAUGCCUAAGGCAGGGCUAGUGACUGGGGUGAAGUCGUAACAAGGUAGCCGUACCGGAAGGUGUGGCUGGAUCACCUCCUUAAAGGGAGACCUAAUUCAGGUAAAAGACGAAAAAAAAGUAGUCGCUACCAAGAAUCAAUCCCAAAAGGUCGGAGCGAGGCGAAAUUGGCUUUCAAACUAGGUUCUGGGUUCAAACAAGACCUGAAUCAGGAACAAGGGCUAUUAGCUCAGGUGGUUAGAGCGCACCCCUGAUAAGGGUGAGGUCCCUGGUUCGAGUCCAGGAUGGCCCACCUGCACAGGUGGCAAAAACAAGAGAAGCGAGGAAUCAGCACCUUAUCUUACUUAUAUAGUAAGAGAGAAUGCUGGCUCUGAGUAAAGAGUCCAGAGGAACCUUGAAAACUGCAUAGAGCUAGGUGAAAAAGCCAAAAAAGAAGACCGCAAGGUCAAGCUAAUAAGGGCUAACGGUGGAUACCUAGGCACACAGAGG